rnacentral:lncRNA from 1 species
CUCAGCUACAGGCUUCAGUGGCAAUGUAUGAGGCCCACGUUGUCUCUCAUGGCCUGCACAGUUUGCAGGAAACCUGGUUGGGCCUCUUACUACUGAUACUGACCUUACUCAGCUGCAGAGGUGUUCUCCCCGGCCUCUAUAUUGGCAAAUUCCGCUUUGCCCAUUUUCAUCACCAGGCUCAGCCCAUGCUGGGAGAGUGGAGUGAGUGCAGCCUCCCUCUGUACGAUGAAGCUCAACACCAAGUGUGCAGCGUUUCUCUCUGUGGAAGAUCUAUGCUCCUGUAGGCUGCUCACAAGAUGCUCCUGACUUGAUGUGUCCUUUCCUGGCAUGGCCUGGAGUCCUCCAUUUGUCCUGGUCUCUGGCACUUCUCACUGCAAGCUUUGACUCCAGGUAUCUCUGUUGCCUCGAGGCCUCUCCUCUGGAACUCCAGAGCCAUUCCUACUGCCUGGUUCAAGUUCCUGCCAGGCCACUCCGACCUCUGGAAAGGGUCUUGCUCUUCCUACGUUGUGUGUUACAUCUGGAGCCAGCACGGAAGCAGAACCCUUGUAGGCUGCUGGGCGAGUGGAUGUCAGUGGUGCUGUAAAGUCAACCAAAGGCUAGCCCUGGCACAUCCUUCUCUAAACUGUCGCUCCCUCCUCGCCACACCAUGAGACCAGAGCUCUGCAACUGGCCCUUCUGGUCUCUCGUGCAGUCCCUUUGCUGAGAGGCUAAGGUGAUUUCUCAGCACAGGCCACACUCUCAGGAGCAGCUCUCAGGAGCGGCUCAGCCUCCUCUUACUUCUGGCUGAGUUGAUGUAUUUAUGAGAACCUGGCCUCUGGUCUCAAGCAGGGAGCAUUGUGAAAUCACAGUCCCCGAGCCUCCCUGGUUGAGGCUGAGAGUGGAUAUAACCAGCCGACUCUGCUUGGCCUUUCCCUCCGAUUGUACCCUGCUUCUGCUUGAGGGGUUUCUCUUCAUAGCAGCCCGCGGGGCACACUCACUUGGCCCAGCAACUUUCCUCAAAGCUGUUCCUCGAAUUCAUCAGUGUCUUAGGCUAUUGCUGCAAUAAAACACCAUGGGGGAAAGCA